UGUGGUUCUACUGAUGUUCUCUUUAGCCCCCUUCUCAGUCAGAAGACUCCUGAACCAGAGCCCCAAAGGAAGGGAGGAUGUGUUUGUCUGGCUUGUACCUAAGACUACACUGAUGCCCAGAGACUAACUAUGGUCUGCCCUCGCAUCCUGGGAGAUAUGCUGUGUGCCAGGGGCCCAUGUCUGAGACAUUACAGAAGGAUUGCUGAGGAUCAUCCAGCCCUCUGACUACUAUGCCAUGCUGCUCAUCCAUGGUACUGCAAGAAACUUGCUGAUGGUGCUGAGAUAAUCUGGUUUUCUCCUGGGACCACUGAGAACAGCAGCUGAAUCACUGUCUGGUAGCAACAUGAAUUCUUUGGGAGAGGAUUUGUACUUCAUUGCAUGGUUCCAAAUGAAUGUGAAUACAACUGC